AUGGGAAGCCAAACCCACGGAUAUUGUGCAGUUGCUCUGGCAUGUGUUACUAGUAACGAAACACUCUGCUUUCUCAGAAAUUUAUGCAACAAAGAUGAUGUUGCGGGAGGACUUCUGCAACAAGGUUCUUGUUGCGAAAAGUAUAAAAUGCAUCACCGGCCGGAGGCACAGCGGAGGGUGAGAUGGGAGGCUGGAACUACGCAGCUGGGCCGAUGGUGGCCAGAACGGUGGGUGUGUGCACUCGAGUGGUGGCCAUGGCUGCAAGCAGGGAUAAUGAGGCGGGGAAGGAGAUGCAAUGCUCGUGAUGUUUCUACAGAAGGGGCACGUGCUGCUUCGGGCCAUAAGGAGAUGUGUCUGCAGAUGGAGAAGAUUGAUGCAAUGGUAGCAUCCGCCGGCUGA
rnacentral:rRNA from 1 species